rnacentral:tRNA from 1 species
GACACCGUGGCCAAGCAGUUAAGGCGAUUGACUAGAAAUCAAUCGGGUUUAUCCCGCGUAGGUUCGACUCCUUCUCCUUUUU